UACGUAGGGUGCAAGCGUUAUCCGGAAUUAUUGGGCGUAAAGAGCUCGUAGGCGGUUUGUCACGUCUGCUGUGAAAACUGGAGGCUCAACCUCCAGCCUGCAGUGGGUACGGGCAGACUAGAGUGCGGUAGGGGAGAUUGGAAUUCCUGGUGUAGCGGUGGAAUGCGCAGAUAUCAGGAGGAACAUCGAUGGCGAAGGCAGAUCUCUGGGCCGUAACUGACGCUGAGGAGCGAAAGCGUGGGGAGCAAACAGG
rnacentral:rRNA from 1 species